rnacentral:miRNA from 1 species
GCAGACACAUUCCAGCCAAUCAGCAGCAGACCCUCCCUCCCAGACCCUCCCACCUCCUGGACAGCUCCACUAAGAAUGCAGCUUCAAAUGAAUGGGAUGCUGUCCAGGAGGUGGGAGGGUCUGGGAGGGAGGGUCUGCUGCUGAUUGGCUGGAAUGUGUCUG